AGGGUGCAAGCGUUAAUCGGAAUUACUGGGCGUAAAGCGUGCGCAGGCGGUUUUGUAAGUCAGAUGUGAAAUCCCCGGGCUUAACCUGGGAACUGCGUUUGAAACUACAAGGCUAGAGUGUGGCAGAGGGGGGUGGAAUUCCACGUGUAGCAGUGAAAUGCGUAGAGAUGUGGAGGAACACCGAUGGCGAAGGCAGCCCCCUGGGUUAACACUGACGCUCAGGCACGAAAGCGUGGGGAGCAAACAGG
rnacentral:rRNA from 1 species